rnacentral:rRNA from 1 species
UACGUAGGGACCGAGCGUUGUCCGGAAUCAUUGGGCGUAAAGAGCGUGUAGGCGGCUUGGUAAGUCUUGCGUGAAAUCUCGGGGCUCAACCCCGAGCGGUCGUGAGAAACUGGCAGGCUAGAGUGCGGGAGAGGAGAGUGGAAUUCCAGGUGUAGCGGUGAAAUGCGCAGAUAUCAGGAAGAACACCCGUGGCGAAGGCGGCUCUCUGGAACGCAACUGACGCUGAGACGCGAAAGCGUGGGGAGCAAACAGG